rnacentral:rRNA from 1 species
GAUGAACGCUGGCGGCGUGCCUAAUACAUGCAAGUCGAGCGAACAGAUAAGGAGCUUGCUCCUUUGACGUUAGCGGCGGACGGGUGAGUAACACGUGGGUAACCUACCUAUAAGACUGUGAUAACUUCGGGAAACCGGAGCUAAUACCGGAUAAUAUUUCGAACCGCAUGGUUCGAUAGUGAAAGAUGGUUUUGCUAUCACUUAUCGAUGGACCCGCGCCGUAUUAGCUAGUUGGUAAGGUAACGGCUUACCAAGGCGACGAUACGUAGCCGACCUGAGAGGGUGAUCGGCCACACUGGAACUGAGACACGGUCCAGACUCCUACGGGAGGCAGCAGUAGGGAAUCUUCCGCAAUGGGCGAAAGCCUGACGGAGCAACGCCGCGUGAGUGAUGAAGGUCUUCGGAUCGUAAAACUCUGUUAUUAGGGAAGAACAUACGUGUAAGUAACUGUGCACGUCUUGACGGUACCUAAUCAGAAAGCCACGGCUAACUACGUG